rfam:Klebsiella pneumoniae subsp. pneumoniae MGH 78578, complete sequence.
UAUGGCCGGUGCGGGAGUCCGCGCCGCGAACCUGCCGCUGUUUCUGCAGGCGGGGGUGAAAGAGGUCCAUAGCUCGGCUGGCCACUGGUUGCCGUCGGAAAUGCGCUUUCGUCAUCCGGGCGUUUCGAUGUCAGCCGAUCCCGAUGCCGAUGAAUACAGACGCUACGCCGUGAAUGGCGCAGCGGUGGCGGAGAUGAAAAGGAUUAUCUCCGCCUGGAGAAGUUAAACGGUUUUUUGCUGCACAUCAUGUCGCCCAAUAUGAUGAUUGCCCGUACCAGGCCCCUGCCCAUUAAACAGGGGCCUUUUUUU